rfam:Oryza sativa Japonica Group DNA, chromosome 3, cultivar: Nipponbare, complete sequence.
UUAAAGUGUAGUUAUGGUUUUCCAUGUUCAACGUUUGACCGCUUAUAUUAUUUAAAAUUUUUCUGUGAUUAGCAUUUUUCUCUAUUAGAUAAUAAAAUAAAAAUAUUAUUUUAUACGUAAUUUAUUUUUAAAUUUUUUAAUAAGACGAACAGUUAAAUUUAGACAUGAAUACCCACAGUAGGUCGAAAU